rnacentral:rRNA from 1 species
AUUGAACGCUGGCGGCAUGCCUUACACAUGCAAGUCGAACGGUAACAGGUCUUCGGAUGCUGACGAGUGGCGAACGGGUGAGUAAUACAUCGGAACGUGCCCGAUCGUGGGGGAUAACGAAGCGAAAGCUUUGCUAAUACCGCAUACGAUCUACGGAUGAAAGCAGGGGACCGCAAGGCCUUGCGCGAACGGAGCGGCCGAUGGCAGAUUAGGUAGUUGGUGGGAUAAAAGCUUACCAAGCCGACGAUCUGUAGCUGGUCUGAGAGGACGACCAGCCACACUGGGACUGAGACACGGCCCAGACUCCUACGGGAGGCAGCAGCGGGGAAUUUUGGACAAUGGGCGAAAGCCUGAUCCAGCCAUGCCGCGUGCAGGAUGAAGGCCUUCGGGUUGUAAACUGCUUUUGUACGGAACGAAAAGACUCUGGUUAAUACCUGGGGCCCAUGACGGUACCGUAAGAAUAAGCACCGGCUAACUACGUGCCAGCCGCCGCGGUAA